GCCGAAGUAGCUCAGUUGGUAGAGCAAUCCCUUCGUAAGGGAUGGGUCGCCGGUUCAAUUCCGGCCUUCGGCUCCA
rnacentral:tRNA from 1 species